rnacentral:lncRNA from 1 species
GGACAAGUGAGACUUCAAGAAUACAGGAUGCCUACUGUCCCAUGCUCACGAACUCUCUCCCCUCGCUUGUUCUCUGUUCUUUGCUCAAGUGGUAGAGAUCUAAGCAGCUCAUUUUAAAGAAGGGAAAUGACAUUAAGGCAGAGAGGGCAAAGUCAAACUCAAACUCAUUGAACUUGGUGAGUCUCCUGAGCCUCCUUCCACCCCAAGCUUGCAGAAACUGCCUGAGACUCACUGUCUCAGCUUCUGCUUUCUGGGAAUCCAAUAAGGAUCCUCUCUGAUAUGGCCAGAAGAUAAAAGACUCCAAGUGAUAAGCAGGGACUAUGGGGUAAAGCUGUCAAGGAAAGCUGCCUGCACAAGCAGCACUGUGGAUUCUCAAGAGAAGUCUGAAAGAAGCAGAGCUUAAGAAAACCCAGGCAUUACUACUCACUGUCAGACUGGGCACAGACAUGGUGAUAUUACUAAUCCUAAGUGUUUGUAUAUACCAUGUGUUGUACAAGAGACAACCUUUCCACAGGAACUUAUGAGGUAGUCUGAAAGUAAGGCAUAAAUAUAUGUGGAAGGAACCUAGAGAUCUGAGGGGGAGCCCACUGUAGGACAGUGAUGUGAGCAGCAGGAGAACCCCUGUGAUUUCCCAGUCCCUAUUUUUAGAUCCAUUGUUCUAUGACUCUGACAAGUAUGCUAAGAGUCACUCAAACACAGAGACUAGCUAUCCUUCAAAGCUUCUGUUUGGUAGACAACUGGGAUUCACACUUCCAGUGAGAGAAGAACUGGAGAAAUUAAAAUCACGGCAUGGUGGCUGGUUUUCCUUUUCUCAUUCUUCACAGACAGUGGGAGGAUAUGACUCUGGAAAAUUAACAUCAAGUGCUUGUGAGGAAGAAGGGCCUUCCCACGAAGACCUGAAUACCCACCCCAUGCCUGCAGUUGAGGAUCUUUUAUCAUUGGGUCACAACUACCGGCGUGUGAGGCGCGGAUGAUAUGGAAUCACUUCAAGUUUGGUAUUAGGAACAAAACAAAGCAACACAACCCUUGAAGCUGGCCUGUCCCCAGGGAUACAUAUUCUUCAAAGAAAUCUCCAAUACCAACCACUGUAGCAGAGAAGUCUAUGUUACAUGGAUGGGUACUAUGUCUGUCCAAGGGGAUUCAUUGCUAGAGAAUCAGCAAACAUUCAGUUAACAAUAACCAUGCUGCUGCUACUUCUAAUAAGAUCCCAUGUGUUUCUCCCUGCCCCCAGGUAAGCCUCCAUCUUCUACUGCCAAGUGCUAGCUGGUAUGGUGGGUCCCACCA